rnacentral:rRNA from 1 species
GUGGGGAAUAUUGGACAAUGGGCGAAAGCCUGAUCCAGCCAUGCCGCGUGUGUGAAGAAGGUCUUCGGAUUGUAAAGCACUUUAAGUUGGGAGGAAGGGCAGUAAGUUAAUACCUUGCUGUUUUGACGUUACCAACAGAAUAAGCACCGGCUAACUUCGUGCCAGCAGCCGCGGUAAUACGAAGGGUGCAAGCGUUAAUCGGAAUUACUGGGCGUAAAGCGCGCGUAGGUGGUUCAGCAAGUUGAAGGUGAAAUCCCCGGGCUCAACCUGGGAACUGCCUCCAAAACUACCGCGCUAGAGUACGGUAGAGGGUAGUGGAAUUUCCUGUGUAGCGGUAAAAAGCGUAUAUAUAGGAAGGAACACCAGUGGCGAAGGCGACUACCUGGACUGAUACUGACACUGAGGUGCGAAAGCGUGGGGAGCAAACAGGAUUAGAAACCCGGGUAGUCC